GUGGGGUAUUCAUGCUUCACCGCAGCAUGGUAUCUAACGAAAUAUUCUCCAGCGCGACGUUAAACUUAAUUUCACCUCACCUCACCUCACCUCACCUCCGUGACCUAAACAGUGAAAUUAUUUAGCCUACCAUCCCAAGUAUCAGCCCACUGUACAUAGGUAACAUAAUGUUACCUGUUAGACAGGAAAACACAGACAGCUUUCGAUAGAGGUGUUGAGGUGUUGGUUUAAGCAUGUAUUGCAGUAUGCCAAAGGGGAAACAACGGGUCGUGACUCUACCAGUACCGAGGUAACUUGGGUGUUAAGUUAAGCUUGCUAUGUGUUAGUAGUGUUUUCCUAUUUAUUUGACUGUUGAGUUAUAUAUAGUCGUUACAUUUAAAGUGUGAUAUAUUAAACUGUAUUUCUGACUUUG